rnacentral:rRNA from 1 species
AACGAACGCUGGCGGCGCGCCUAAUACAUGCAAGUCGAGCGAGAAGACGUAGCAAUACGUUUGUAAAGCGGCGAACGGGUGGGGAAUACAUGGGUAACCUACCCUCGAGUGGGGAAUAACUAGCCGAAAGGUUAGCUAAUACCGCGUACGCUCCUUGGACUUCGGUUCAGGGAGGAAAGCGAUACCGUGGGUAUCGCGCUCUUGGAUGGGCUCAUGUCCUAUCAGCUUGUUGGUGAGGAACGGCUCACCAAGGCUUCGACGGGUAGCUGGCCUGAGAGGACAAUCAGCCACACUGGCACUGCGACACGGGCCAGACUCCUACGGGAGGCAGCAGUAAGGAAUAUUGCGCAAUGGGCGAAAGCCUGACGCAGCGACGCCGCGUGGGGGA